rnacentral:rRNA from 1 species
CAGCAGCCGCGGUAGUACGUAGGGUGCGAGCGUUAAUCGGAAUUACUGGGCGUAAAGCGUGCGCAGGCGGUUUCGUAAGACAGGCGUGAAAUCCCCGGGCUCAACCUGGGAAUGGCGCUUGUGACUGCAAAGCUAGAGUGCGGCAGAGGGGGAUGGAAUUCCGCGUGUAGCAGUGAAAUGUGUAGAUAUGCGGAGGAACACCGAUGGCGAAGGCAAUCCCCUGGGCCUGCACUGACGCUCAUGCACGAAAGCGUGGGGAGCAAACAGGAUUAGAUACCCCAGUAGUCCCUGUCUCUUAUAC